UUCCUCUCCUUUUUACUACUGGUGAUUCACCCAAGUGUGUGGAGGAAUUCCUACUUUACUACUGCCAUUGCCUUGCCAUCUGCUUUCAGCCUACCCUCCCAGAUUCUUCUUCUGGUCUGCAGUCCCAGACAGUCACACUCUCACACAUUGACGGAACUGACCUUUUAUGCCUACACUUUGACAAAUAAGAUUUGAAUGGCACAGAAUUCUUUCUCCUCAUCAAACCACUUUUUCUGUCCAAUGGGUGACCAAGAAUUUCUAUCCAUCAAGCCAACCAGAAGUGAAAUUUUAUACUCUUCUUCCUCUGCAUAAAAAGAACCCAGCUUCUCCCAUACCUCUUACAAAACUAAGUAGCAGCUAACUGCCAGCCAGAAAUGGGUGCUUCACAUUUUAAGCUUAACCUUUCUCAGGACCCCACAAACAUGGUAAACAUUGUAUACAGAACAAACCUUGUCUCAGUCAGCACACUGUAAAAGUGAUUCCUCUACACACUACUACAAGCCACCUUGGUUGUACAAGAUAUGAAGCCAGCAAGAUUUUUAAUUUCUUAGAAUUUUUUUUGGGGGGGGUAUUUAGGAAAAGGCUGUAGUAGGUUGACCUAGGACCUGGGCUAAGUUCCUGCUCAGCCAUGAAACAUACUGGGCAGCCUUGGGCCAGUCGCUGUCUCUCAGCCUAAACUACCUCACAGGGUUUUUGUGAUGAUAAAACGGAGAGGAAGAGGACCAUGGAUGCCACCAUGAGCUCCACGGAGGAAAUGUGUAAUAUAAAUGUAAUAAAUAAAAAAGGCAAACUUACCUGUGGGUAAGGUGAAAUCCUUAAUAUCGUUGGACUUAUUAUUUUGGGGUUAGCCAACAUAGUGCCUCCCAGAUGUUUCAGGCUACAACUGUCACCAUCCUUGAUAAUUGGCAAUGCUGUCUGGCACUGAUGGGAGUUGCAGACUAGUAACAUCUGUAAGAUACAGUGUUGGUUAUACCCUUAAGUUGGAGCGGAACAUGAUUUCCUUAGGAUAUUUACUAGAACUUUACUUGCACAUCUAUUUUAUAGGCACUUUGGAUGAUAUGAAACAGACCAGCUAAAAAUCCCUCAAAUGAAGUUUUCAGUCUUCCUUAGGUGUGCCAUUAGAAACUCCUGCUGCUUCUAUAGACCACAGAUUGUUUUUGAGUUGUCAAGAUGUGUAUUCUCAGGACAGUCUUUCUGCUUUUCAUUAACUAGCAUUGGCUGGAUGAAAGGCAGGUGAGGCUCAAAAUCUUGAACAAGCAGAUUGUGAGGAGUACUGCUGUAAAAUUAAAACACAGACUUUAUGUAUUGACUGUCAAUUGACUGUCAAGUAGAUUCAUACGUCUGUGGAAAACGAUUUGAGGGUGAAAGAUAUAGAUAGAAAUUUGCUUGAUUAUUGUCUCCUUACCUGUGGUAUUCUACCCCUACCCUUACCUGUUCCUAUUCGCAAGUUAUUUUUAUGACCAGCUAUCUACACAAAAGGCUUUUAUGGUCCUCAGAUUUCAAAACAAGUCCCUCAUAAUGAUUAGAAGGGUGAUACUGAAGAGCAACUUUUUCUGCAUCUUGUGGAGUCAUGACAGUUGUACAUUGUGUACAUUGCAGAAUCCAUGGGGAACCCACAAAGGAAAUUAUUGUGAACCUGAUAGGAAGAUACCUCAGGCCCUGUUUUGGGUGUUCAGGCAGUGUGUGGGUGGAGUAAGUGUGCAGAGGGUAUAGAGUUUAUAUCCUAUCUCCAAAGUUCUUGUCCUGCAUGUGCACUGCUCCUGCCCCAAACAUCCAUAUCCAGCAUGUGCUACCUUGACUUUUCCAUGUUGAGCAGAAGAAUGGGGCUUCUAAGAGUGUUUGAAUGAAUGUGCUUAGAAGCGUCGGAUUUGGACCCUUGAUAACAUUGGAUUCUGGAUCAGUUAGAUGCAGUUUCGAGGCCAUUUCAAACUUUUGUACUUAGUUUGUGAGAGUCUCCUGUGGGGAUGUGGAUACUGGGAAUGGGGCUUUCAUGCACCGCAUUCAUGCCUGUCAGGGAACUGACAUCGGAGCUAGAGGCGGAGGGAAGGCUCUCAAAUGAUGCUGGAGAAGGGCCCAGCAGGGAGAGAGGCAGCUCAGCAGAUGGGGAAGCAAAUCAGCGCAACACCAGGGAUAAAAGGGGCAGAUGGGGAAUCGGCGAGAGGGCUCCAGGACUCUUCACCGGACACCAGCGGGGAGAGCACGGGUCCUCCGCUACCCACGCCCUCCCUGCGCAGAAGACUUCCGCGCAGGGAGAGUAGGAGGAGACUUGGCGUCAAACAACUUUUAUGUUGGAAAAGGUUUAAGAAACGCCCACUGACGGAUUCUGCUAGCGACUGAGGCAGCCACGAAGUGAAGGGCUGUCCAGACAGAAAGGUUUAACAAGGCAACAUAGCCAGGAGAGGCGGCAACUUACGCACGAGCAACCCAUACUCAUUACAAUGCCCUUCUAAACAAAGGUAUUUGUUGGAUAACAAAACUGAUAGAGCCUCAGAACCACUUUUAAAAUAUAUUUUUAAUUGAUUUUCAACAUUAACAAAAUAGAAACUACAAGUAUUCAUAAACACAGGGAUUACUAUAGAAAUCAAGAGCAAAAUGGAAGGUAAAACCCAUGGAGCAAAAUAAUACAGCAAACUUCCUGAUCAGGGUAGUUCAUUUACGACCCUUUGGGACUACCCUUUUAAUGCUGCAUUUGCCAACCCAAUCCCCUCAAGGUGUUUUGGACUACAAUUCCCAUUGGCCCCAGUUAGGAUGCAUUGGAGUGAACCUGAACGAUCUUUCUGGAAAAUGUGGUGUGAGAAAUGCAAGCAAGGCUUCAUGCCUACACUAUAUGUGACCUAGAUUGUGUGCUAUUGUCCUUCAAGAAAGACUUGAGCUAUCCUCCAAAAGCAGCACCUGUUCUUUUGCAUAUACACUCCUUUCCUUGGUUAUGAUUCUGUAAAUAGACUCUUGAAAGAGCCAGCAAUAAGAUAUGUUCAGAUUUCAAGUGGAUUGUCCUUGUCUUACAGAUACAUCUUGCAUGCUUGUGUUGUACAUGGCCCAAGGAGGAUUACAAUAUUAUCUGCCAAUGUGAUUAAGUGUUCAAAUAAAGAUAGCCGAUUGUUGUUCUGCUAUUUAAACUGAAAGCUCCUAAGUUUGCCAUCUGGCAAGCAACCCUGAAUUUCUUAAUAUCUGGUUCAGGAACCGCUAGAAACAUUUAUUGUUAAUUCCUCUUACACAGUAGGUGAUCCAUUGACUGAAGACUAUUUUGUUUUCAAGUUUGGCUUGGAAGUAAUAGUUUGGAAAAGCAGAACACAGCCUAGCUGGAUGCACUGAAAUAUAAACAAAAACCUUUCACCUUAAUGGGCAAAGUAUAGUUAUACCUCUCCCCUCUGAUACUUCUCCCCUUACUCUGCCAGUGGUACUUAAACUAGGCCCAUGUCAAAUGCUACUUGAAUGUUGUGGUGGUCCCUGUACUACUUUGCUAAUGCCAAGGUAAUUUGACUCCUUAGUUUUAGUUAUUAGUUUGUUCUUAUUACUUACACUUAGAAUUUGUCUUGUAUCAUGCAUUAUCUUUUAAACAAAACAAAAUGGCACACUUGCAACAUUUCACUAGUUGCAAUCUAAACUGUUAAAACACAUUGUUUCUCCAAAAUAUUAUUGGUAAGUGUAGUUUACCCCUACAAUUGCCAGCACUCUAUUUUUUUAAAAAUACUACGGUUCCCAUGAUUAUUUGGUGGACAUAAUAUGCUUUAAAUGUAUGGUGAGUGUGUGUGCAGCCCUGCUUGGAGCUGCUUUGGUGAACAGUUACCCAGAUCAUAUUUCUUUUUGUUCUCUGGCGCUCUGAACAAUCUAAAAAUAUUCCUCAAACAGGAAAUGUUUUUCAUUCUGUUAUGUCAUUUGCUUCCCAUAGGAGGUAUUAUAUCUAAUUUAUAGAAUAAACUUUUGGGCUGGAUUCCCAUAGGAACCUAGGUACAAUUGAUUGUUUGGCAUACUACCCAAACUAUUCCUCUGUUUUUCAGAAGAUGCAUAAUCAAUGUCAAAGGGAUUAUAAGCAUUAGAAAGACUGGAGCCUACAGAAUGUAAGGCAAGAGGAAAUAACCAUACUUGGUUUGCCUGCAGGUUAAAAACAAGCACCAAAGAACUUCUUAAAUUUCACUUUGAAGGCAUUUCUUGGCUAAACUAUGAACAGAGUUUUCUCUCAUCAUAUCUAUAUCUUUUUGCCCAGUUUCAACCACAUUCUCAUUAGUGGUACAUCUUUUGUCUAUGUGUGUUUUCAGAGACUUAACUUUUUAUUACAACAUCUUGUUUGAAAGAGGGAUAUAUUGAUAGUUUUGAAUGUGGAUGGCAUUCCUUUGAACCAAAGGAUCUUAUCCAAGCAGCUGUGCUGCUACUUCAUAAUCUCAUUUGAAAAUACGCAUUUACUCUUGUGGCUUUAAUAGUAUACUUGCUAUUUUCCCUGAGAGUUUAACUGUACAUCUGAAGUCCUGCAAUAGCUGGAUGCUGAAGCAAGGAUGCUAUGGGGUGAUGGAUGCCUGGUAAAGUUUACAUGGUUUGAUGCAAUGUUCAAAAUUCGCCAGGUGCCAGGUGUGUUUUGCACCUGGCUGUCAACCAUUUGCAACCAAGUGAAGAUGCCUGGGCACCAGGAUGGCUCCUGAUGUCUCCACCAUCUGAUGGUACAUGCCUGGGGAUCCUUGGAUCUUGACUGUUUUCAUACACCAGCAUCACAUCCUGUGGAAUUCUAUCUGUUAUAUUUUAUCUGCACAAUCAAAAUGAAUUUCAGGAACCAAAAAGGGUGACUUCUUUAGACAGUAUUGGUCUGGCUCAGUUCCCUUUCCCCAUGGUUUUCUUCCAUCGGAUUCUGUUAUCAUUGGUCUCGCACUUCUCUUCCAGGGAGAACAUGGAGAACUGAACUACUGAGGUCCUAAGGAAUUUCCUUUAGUAAAUUCCAACAAUCAUGAGGUUGAAAGCCUUGUUUGAAUAUUCAUCCAGCUAGACCUUUUGUGCAGGCAGUAACUGAGUUCAGCUGAACCCUGCUGCUUAGAGUCAUGAUCAAACUUUGUUUAUUUAACCCUGGUCGUGUAUUAAGCGGGCCUCAAUGACAGCCAUAUUAUGAGUCAUGUUUCUUUACAGCAGUGCUUAAUAAAGUCUUAAAUUC